rnacentral:rRNA from 1 species
UACGUAGGGUGCGAGCGUUUAAUCGGAAUUACUGGGCGUAAAGCGUGCGCAGGCGGUUAUUUAAGUCAGGUGUGAAAGCCCUGGGCUUAACCUAGGAAUUGCGCUUGAGACUGGAUAGCUUGGAGUGCGGCAGAGGGAGGUGGAAUUCCACGUGUAGCAGUGAAAUGCGUAGAGAUGUGGAGGAACACCGAUGGCGAAGGCAGCCUCCUGGGCCAGCACUGACGCUCGAUGCACGAAAGCGUGGGGAGCAAACAGG